rnacentral:rRNA from 1 species
AUUGAACGCUGGCGGCAGGCCUAACACAUGCAAGUCGAACGGUAACAGGAAACAGCUUGCUGUUUCGCUGACGAGUGGCGGACGGGUGAGUAAUGUCUGGGAAACUGCCUGAUGGAGGGGGAUAACUACUGGAAACGGUAGCUAAUACCGCAUAACGUCGCAAGACCCAAGAGGGGGACCUUCGGGCCUCUUGCCAUCGGAUGUCCCAAGAUGGGAUUAGCUAGUGGGUGGGGUAACGGCUCACCUAGGCGACGAUCCCUAGCUGGUCUGAGAGGAUGACCAGCCACACUGGAACUGAGACACGGUCCAGACUCCUACGGGAGGCAGCAGUGGGGAAUAUUGCACAAUGGGCGCAAGCCUGAUGCAGCCAUGCCGCGUGUAUGAAGAAGGCCUUCGGGUUGUAAAGUACUUUCAGCGGGGAGGAAGGGAGUAAAGUCAAUACCUUUGCUCAUUGACGUUACCCGCAGAAGAAGCACCGGCUAACUCCGUGCCAGCCGCCGCCGUAA